rnacentral:rRNA from 1 species
AUGCUUAGGGAGGAGCUUGCGUCACAUUAGUUAGUUGGUGGGGUAAAGGCCUACCAAGACUAUGAUGUGUAGCCGGGCUGAGAGGUUGAACGGCCACAUUGGGACUGAGACACGGCCCAAACUCCUACGGGAGGCAGCAGUAGGGAAUUUUCGGCAAUGGAGGAAACUCUGACCGAGCAACGCCGCGUGAACGAUGAAGUAUUUCGGUACGUAAAGUUCUUUUAUUAGGGAAGAAUAAAUGAUGGAAAAAUCAUUCUGACGGUACCUAAUGAAUAAGCCCCGGCUAACUAUGUGCCAGCAGCCGCGGUAAUACAUAGGGGGCAAGCGUUAUCCGGAAUUAUUGGGCGUAAAGGGUGCGUAGGCGGUUAAAUAAGUUUAUGGUCUAAGUGCAAUGCUCAACAUUGUGAUGCUAUAAAAACUGUUUAGCUAGAGUAAGAUAGAGGCAAGUGGAAUUCCAUGUGUAGUGGUAAAAUGCGUAAAUAUAUGGAGGAACACCAGUAGCGAAGGCGGCUUGCUGGGUCUUUACUGACGCUGAGGCACGAAAGCGUGGGGAGCAAACAGGAUUAGAUACCCUGGUAGUCCACGCCGUAAACGAUGAGUACUAAACGUUGGGUAAAACCAGUGUUGAAGUUAACACAUUAAGUACUCCGCCUGAGUAGUACGUACGCAAGUAUGAAACUUAAAGGAAUUGACGGGACUCCGCACAAGCGGUGGAUCAUGUUGUUUAAUUCGAAGGUACCCGAAAAACCUCACCAGGUCUUGACAUGCUUCUGCAAAGCUGUAGAAACACAGUGGAGGUUAUCAGUUGCACAGGUGGUGCAUGGUUGUCGUCAGCUCGUGUCGUGAGAUGUUGGGUUAAGUCCCGCAACGAGCGCAACCCUUAUUGUUAGUUACCAGCACGUAAUGGUGGGGACUUUAGCAAGACUGCCAGUGAUAAAUUGGAGGAAGGUGGGGACGACGUCAAAUCAUCAUGCCCCUUAUGACCUGGGCUACAAACGUGAUACAAUGGCUGUUACAAAGGGUAGCUGAAGCGCAAGUUUUUGGCGAAUCUCAAAAAAACAGUCUCAGUUCGGAUUGAAGUCUGCAACUCGACUUCAUGAAGUUGGAAUCGCUAGUAAUCGCGAAUCAGCAUGUCGCGGUGAAUACGUUCUCGGGGUUUGUACACACCGCCCGUCA